UACGGGGGGGGCAAGCGUUGUUCGGAAUUACUGGGCGUAAAGGGCUCGUAGGUGGCCAACUAAGUCAGACGUGAAAUCCCUCGGCUUAACCGGGGAACUGCGUCUGAUACUGGAUGGCUCGAGUGUGGGAGAGGGAUGCGGAAUUCCAGGUGUAGCGGUGAAAUGCGUAGAUAUCUGGAGGAACACCGGUGGCGAAGGCGGCAUCCUGGACCAUGACUGACGCUGAGGAGCGAAAGCCAGGGGAGCAAACGGG
rnacentral:rRNA from 1 species